rnacentral:rRNA from 1 species
AGCGAACGCUGGCGGCAGGCUUAACACAUGCAAGUCGAGCGGGCAUCUUCGGAUGUCAGCGGCAGACGGGUGAGUAACACGUGGGAACGUACCCUUCGGUUCGGAACAACUCUGGGAAACUGGAGCUAAUACCGGAUACGCCCUUAUGGGGAAAGGUUUACUGCCGAAGGAUCGGCCCGCGUCUGAUUAGCUAGUUGGUGGGGUAACGGCCUACCAAGGCGACGAUCAGUAGCUGGUCUGAGAGGAUGAUCAGCCACACUGGGACUGAGACACGGCCCAGACUCCUACGGGAGGCAGCAGUGGGGAAUAUUGGACAAUGGGCGCAAGCCCGAUCCAGCCAUGCCGCGUGAGUGAUGAAGGCCUUAGGGUUGUAAAGCUCUUUUGUCCGGGACGAUAAUGACGGUACCGGAAGAAUAAGCCCCGGCUAACUUCGUG